rnacentral:rRNA from 1 species
AUUGAACGCUGGCGGCAGGCCUAACACAUGCAAGUCGAGCGAGCGGCGGACGGGUGAGUAAUGUAUGGGGAUCUGCCCGAGAGAGGGGGAUAAAUACUGGAAACGGUGGCUAAUACCGCAUACUAUAGGAUGUGCCCAGAUGGGAUUAGCUAGUGGGUGUGGUAAUGUCACACCUAGGCGCCGAUCCCGACCUGGUCUGAGAGGAUGACCAGCCACAAUGGAACUGAGACACGGUCCAGACUCCUACGGGAGGCAGCAGUGGGGAAUAUUGGACAAUGGGCGCAAGCCUGAUGCAGCCAUGCCGCGUGUGUGAAGAAGGCCUUCGGGUUGUAAAGCACUUUCAGCGGGGAGGCGUUACUCGCAGAAGAAGCACCGGCUAACUCCGUGCCAGCAGCCGCGGUAAUUC